UACGAAGGGAGCUAGCGUUAAUCGGAAUUACUGGGCGUAAAGCGUGCGUAGACGGUUACAUAAGUCGGGUGUGAAAGCCCCGGGCUCAACCUGGGAAUUGCAUUCGAGACUGCGUAGCUAGGGUGCGGAAGAGGGAAGCGGAAUUUCCGGUGUAGCGGUGAAAUGCGUAGAUAUCGGAAGGAACACCAGUGGCGAAAGCGGCUUCCUGGUCCAGCACCGACGUUCAGGCACGAAAGCGUGGGGAGCAAACAGG
rnacentral:rRNA from 1 species